GAGCAUAGGAAAGUCUGUCUGUGCUGCGAAUGGCCCCCCGAAAACUGACGGGAAGUCAUCCAAGAGAAAACAAAAAGGGUAAACACUGUGCAAGCUUCCUUCAGUUCAUUUAAGCUGCCAGCACAAAGAAUUCGCACGACAGCUUUCUUCUGAGCCCUGGGACCGACCGGCAAGUCCCGAUUUAGAAACCAAGAGAAUGAACUGGCCAUCACCAACCAUCUGCCGGUGUUUGGCAGGGGCCUGUGAUCCACGGCGAUGGAUUUUACUGGAUGUGAGAGCACUCUUGGUAUUAGGAGUGACUCACUGCAAACCUUCCUAUCCCAAUAACAAGAUCACAUCAUGCGCUGUACUGUUGGAGAUAUGACACACACAGGAAUAAAAACUGCAGCCCUUCCUCACGGUGUCUUCAAGGCUGAAUGGCAAGGCUUGUUUCUUUCUUUCUUUUUUAAGCUAUUGCAAAAUAAAAGUCUUUUUAAUGCGAA